rnacentral:rRNA from 1 species
AAACUUGAGAGUUUGAUCAUGGCUCAGAAUGAACGCUGGCGGCACGCUUAACACAUGCAAGUCGAACGAGAUCUUCGGAUCUAGUGGCAGACGGGUGAGUAACGCGUGGGAACCUGCCCUUUAGUAGAGAAUAACUCGGGGAAACUCGAGCUAAUACUUUAUACGCCCUUUGGGGGAAAGCUUUAUGCGCUAUUGGAUGGGCCCGCGUUAGAUUAGUUUGUUGGUGAGGUAACGGCUCACCAAGGCUACGAUCUAUAGCUGGUCUGAGAGGAUGAUCAGCCACACUGGGACUGAGACACGGCCCAGACUCCUACGGGAGGCAGCAGUGGGGAAUAUUGGACAAUGGGGGCAACCCUGAUCCAGCGAUGCCGCGU